rnacentral:lncRNA from 1 species
AAAAAAAAAAAAAAAAAAGACCAGCCUGGCCAACAUGGUGAAACCCCGUCUCUACUAAAAAUACAAAAAUUAGCCAGGCAUGGUGGUUCACACCUGUAAUCCCAGCUACUUGGGAGGCUGAGACACAAGAAUCGCUUGAACCUGGGAGGCGGAGGUUGCAGUGAGCCAAGAUCAUGCCACUGCACUCCAGGCUGGGUGACAGAGCGAGACUCCGUCUCAAAAAAAAAAAAAAAAAAGCAAACAAAUGGCCAGACGCAGUGUCUCACACCUGUAAUCCCAGCACUUUGGGAGGCCGAGGCAGGUGGAUCACCUGAGGUCAGGAAUUCGAGACCAGCCUGACUAACAUGGAGAAACCCCACCUCUACUAAAAAUACAAAAUUAGCCGGGCGUGGUGGUGCCUGCCCUGUAAUCCCAGCUACUCGGAGGCUGAGGCAGGAGAAUCGCUCAAACCCGGGAGGCAGAGGUUGGGGUAAGCUGAGAUCUUGCCAUUGCACUCCAGCCUGGGCAACAAGAGCGAAACUCUGUCUCAAAAAAAAUAGUAAAAAUUAGGCCGGGUGCGGUGGCUCACGCUUGUAACCCCAGCACUUUGGGAGGCCGAGGCGGGCGGAUCAUGAGGUCAGGAGAUCGGGACCAUCCUGUCUAACACGGUGAAACCCCGUCUCUACUAAAAAUACAAAAAAUUAGCUGGGCGUGGUGGUGGGCGCUUGUAGUCCCAGCUACUUGGGAGGCUGAGGCAGGAGAAUGGCGUGAACUCGGGAGGCAAAGCGUGCAGUGAGCCAAGAUGGCGCCACUGCACUCCAGCGUGGGCGACAAAGCAAGACUCCGCUUCAAAAAAAAAAAAAAAAAAGUAAAUUAAAAUAAAUUAAAUAAAUUAAAAUAAUUAAAAUAAAUUAAAAUAAAUUAAAAUAAAAUUGUAGCAUUGUAUAAAUGAGUUAGCACUAAAGAUAAAAUAUAUACAAUUUAAGACAGUAUUAUAACGAUUAAGAAAAAAUCUGAGUAUAAAUUCUGAUAGUUCAGAGGAAGGCAAGAGAGGAUCCAGCACCGUGAGAAUGUCAUUAAUAUUGGGAGAAAUUCUCAAUUUAUUGAGACUGAAAGUCACCUAUGAGUAUCAAUUUAAUGAGGAAGUUGGAAGAAUUUGAUGCAGUUUCCUGUGUCACAUCAUGGCUCCAAUAGGAAUAUAUUAUUUAGCUAGUGACUGCUGCAACAAACCAAAGAUCACACCAGUAAUUCCCAGCUGGCUUGGAAUGUCAUAGCAUAUAUGGACAAUUAAUGUUUCCUGACUUACUGGAUCUGUUCUUUCAGCCCAUCUUGCACACAACUGCCAGAUUAAUAUUACUGCUUUUUAUGUUGAAUACCUCUGUUCAAAAAUCCUUUGUAGGACAAACACCUUAGCUUCACUGUCAAAGCUCUCUAUAAUCUGCUUCCCGUCUUAUCUCCCAUCAUUCCUUAAUAGGGUUUACUUCACCUAACCCUAUCUAUUCAUUCUUAACUAAAGAUAUCCAGCCAGGUGCAGUGGCUCAAGCCUGUAAUCCCAGCAUUUUGGGAGGCCGAGGCAGAAAGAUCGCUGGAGGCCAGGAAUUCAAGACCAACCUAGGCAAAAUGAAGAAACCUCAUCUCCACAAAAAAUAGACAUAAAAAAAUUAGCCAGUUGCUCCUGCAUGUGUCUGUCAGGUGAAUCCCUUGAAGUCAGGAGUUCAAGACCACCAUGGCCAACAUGGCAAAACCCCAUCUCUACUAAAUAUGCAAUAAUUAGCCGAGUGUGGUGGCACAUGCCUGUAGUCCCAGCUACUCAGGAGACUGAGGCAGGAGAAUCCCUUGAACCCAGGAGGUGGAGGUUGCAGUGAGCCAAGAUGGCGCCACUGCACUCCAGCCUGGGCAACGGAGCGAGACUCUGUCUCAAAAAAAAAAAAAAAAAAAAGAUAUCCUACAAGUUCUCACAUUCAUGCCUGUAUUCAUAAUAUGUCUGACAUGUUUCCCUAGCCACUCAUUAAAUUUGCUGUAUCUCUAACUUAAAGUUGUAAUUUCUUGCUGAAGACCUCUCCAAAUCAAAAUGUCUAUAAUAAAUAACAAUGUAACUAAAAGAAACAAACCAAUCCCCUUCACCCAGAUAGAAAACGAGUAAGAGAAUGGCCUUAGCUAAGUAUUUCGUAGAGACCUUACAAAGCAAAACUUAAAUAUGGCCUUUGGUUAACUAAUGGCCUUUCAAAGGCUAUGACUGACUUAAUACAAGGUCUUUUUGUUAUGCCUUACAGACCAAUUGCACUCUGCUGGUGAGACGCUGACUUCAUAGUAAGGCAGCUGGAAAACAUCUCUUUAACAUGGAUUCAUGGCAGGAUUUUUCCAAUUCAAAUAAUGUACCAUGUCCUUUAAAAGAAAAACAAUACUCUUGGACCUCUACUGUUGACCUAGUUUUUUUUGUUUUACUAAAUAUAUACUUAAUAUAUAAAAGGUAUACUUAAUGCAUAAAAAGGCAUGAACUCUGUAGGUGCUAUUAAUACCCUUGUUUAUUGGCUAUUCUCCCAUCCUAAUUCUUCCUAAUCACAGUUUAAUUUCCUUUUGGUGAAUUACCUCUCCCCAGUUGGGCACAGCCAAAGUAACCCAUACAGAAGCCAAGGGGUAUCAGGACAUUGUUAUAUCUUUCCUCUCAGUGACCUGUACAGUCAAAGGUUGGAUACAUGACCUAAUCUUGGCCAGUUGGACUGUCUCCAAGGAGAUUCUUGAGUGGAGAAAACGCUUCACUUAUCUGGCAGCAUAUGUUGGCCAAAUGGUACCUGUUGCUGUGGUUCUUUGUCUCAGUUCUUUGUCUUGAACCUGAACCCGGUUCUCCUGCCCUCCUAUUGUACUCUGAACUAUCUAAAAUCCUACUAAUAAGUUAGUCAGGCUGGGCGCAGAGGCUCAAGCCUAUAAUCCCAGCACUUUGGGAGGCUGAGGCAGGCAGAUCACCUGAGGUCGGGAGUUCAAGACCAGUCUGACCAACAUGGAGAAACCCUGUCUCUACUAAAAAUACAAAAUUAGCCAGAUAUGGUGGCGCAUGCCUAUAAUCCCAGCUACUCGGGAGGCUAGGGCAGGAGAAUCACUUGAACCUGGGAGGGGGAGGUUGCAGUGAGCUGAGAUCAUGCCACUGCACUCCAGCCUGGGCGACAAGAGCAAAACUCUGUCUCAAAUAAAUAAAUAAAUAAAUAAAUAAUAAGUUAGCCAGAUCUCCCAGCUACAUGAAGACAAAAAGAAAGCAAAAGAUUCUAUAAGAGAUUAUAUAGUAAGUUACUAUUUGUGAAAAAAAAAAAUAAGGCCAGAAGCGGUGGCUCACGCCUGUAAUCCCAGCACUUUGGGAGGCCAAGGUGGGCAAAUCACCAGGUCAGGAGUUUGAGACCAGCCUGGCCAACGUGGUGAAACCCCAUCUCUACUAAAAAUACAAAAAAAUAGCCGGGCAUGGUGGCGCGCGCCUGUAGUCCCAGCUACUUGGGAGGCUGAGGCAGCAGAAUUGCUUGAACCCGGGAG